AUGAUGGGCUCCGAAAGGAGCACCAUGGGCAAGAUAUUAGCCGAAGUCUUGGGUUAUUGAUACUUUGAACGUGAUAGUUUGGUAGAACAGGCAGUCGGAAUGCCUUCCGUUGCUCAAAUAUUCAAGGUUCACAGCGAAGCAUUUUUUAGAGACACCGAGAGCAGUGUCUUGAGAGAUUUAUCCUCAAUGCAUCGACUAGUUGUUGCUAAUGGAGGUGGUGAUAUUGUUCGGUCAGUUAACUGGAGAUAUAUGAAGAAAGGUCUGUCUAUCAUGUUGGAUGUGCCUUUGGAUGCGCUUGCGAAGCGAAUUGCACAAGUUGGGACUGCUUCUCGGCCCCUUCUAGAUCAGCCAUGUGCUGAUCCAUACACAGUGGUCGUUUGCAUCUUGAUUGGCUGUACACAUUUGUCUUGAUUGGCUUAUGCAAACGCCGAUGUAAGGGUUUCUCUUGAAGGUAUGUUAGAUGCUCCUAGCUCCAUGGUCAUAGAUGGGUCUCUAGAAUCCGUCCUCUCCCGAGCGAAGUUGUAA
rnacentral:rRNA from 1 species